rnacentral:lncRNA from 1 species
UCUCUAAACCUUUCUGAAAUAAAUGUCAGGUUAAGUAAGUUACAAAUGUCUCCACUUCAAAUCUGGACCUAGAGACCAAAUGCAGGACAACAUAGUUCUUUUUCCUCCUAGAUGGAAAUGAACUUUUUGCUUUAUUUAAAUCUCCAGCAGCCUUGCUUUUUCUGCAGUCCAAAAGAGAGCAUUAAAAUAGGACACACAAAUAUUUCAUGUUGACACUUGGUUCCUUUGUGAACACUAACUAGUAAAGAUCGAUGAUAACAAUAUAGGCUUGCUCUGCAAACCAUCUGGUGGAAUACACUGAAGCUGUUAGGAAUGGCCAUUAAGUUUCACACACACAGAAGGUCCAUCUUUGUGAUCCUUCUCAAAUAGUUCUGGGGUAAUCCAAUGCUCUUCUUUUUCAGUUCCAAGUGGAUGAGAAUUGCUGGGCUUCAUCUGUCAGAGAAAGCCUUAUACUUCAGUUUAGAGAAGAAAGCAAUUUAUUGUUUCAAGAGACAGACCCACAUUAAAUUUAUCCAGCUGUCCAAGGUCAAGGUGGAGGUUCUCAUCCAUACCAAAGACUUACCAUGGAAUGCAGCAACUCAAAGCAAAACUACAGGUUGGCUACAGGUCAGAAUCCAAUACCAUCUAUCGUCGUUGAAAAAUAAGAGGUAUAAGCAGAAGAGCAAUAAAUGAGAGAACUUUGUGUCCCAGGACAAGGUGGGCUUUGAUCUGGACUAUGAAGAAAAGAAUGAGAAGAGGGCAGAAAAGGACUUUCUAGAAGAAGCACAGGGCUGAGAAUAUGCAUGGCACUUGGAUGAUAUUAAUAAGUAGUAACACUCUCAACUUGAGAAAGAAUCUCUUCCCGCCCCCACCCUCUCCUCCCCUUAUCUUUGAAAAAGCUACUCUGCCACUGCUGUGAUGCCUAGACUCCAGUCAGUUCCGCCAGAAGGAAGCAGUUCCUGGGGACCCUCUCCCCAAGGCCUCUGAUCAUCCUAUUUGUGACAGCCCCUGAAUCACUCACGUGUCAGUAAUGCCAAUGCCAUGGCCAGCCUGGGCAAGAGCACAGACAGAUAGCAGAGCAACCUCAUCCCCAGGGUCUUGUGGAAAUGCCAGGGCUGUUAUUUCCAUCCCCUCAACAGGGAAAUCAGCCUGCACCUGGAGGCUCCACAGAGGCUGUUUAAUAAGACAUUUGUUUACUGCCUUCCUGCUACCUCUGACAAUAUAAUCCUUUCUGAUUCUUUCCACGAUUUGACUCUAAAUGAAAAAGUAUGAUCUCGCAGUUGGGCGGCAAUGAGACUGCGACACCACUGGUAAUCCGCCAAAGCUCCAGAAUGCGAUCGACAGGAUGG